AAAUCUAAUAGAAAAGGCAGUCACAGAAUGAAAUCGCUUCAUCUGAAUGCUAAAAUUGUUAUUAGGCUACAUUAGAGAGAUAUAAGGCACGUGAUUACCAAAAAAGGAAGCAUGCCUAGCAGUUUGUGCUUGAAAUAAAAGCCGUGAAUAUGUUGAUAACAUCAGCAACGUGCCAGUAUAAUAGAUAGAGAGAGGGAGAGGGAGAGAUGUGUGUGUAUAACAAUCAGAUUAACAUAUGCAGUUUAUAUAGAGAGAGAACUACACUGCUAGUGGGUCAUGCAAUAGACUGAAGGGGAGUUCUAAUGGCUACUGCAAAUCUUUGAAUUCGGAUCUUGGUGGGAGAAGUUUGAGUUAGAUAGGAUGGCUGGCGUGUAGUACAGUGUGCCUGUGCCUUCAGUUCAGCAUUUUGGGCAGAGCAUUCUGGUGUGGACCCUUUGGUCCUUUGAUUAUUAAAUCAUCCUGAUGGGACGAGCACAACCGAAAUGUUGUUGAGGGCCAUUCUUUUCCCCUGUAAUUUUCUCAGACAAAACUCUCUCCACAAGAAAAUUUCAUCAGGUGAACACAACAUUUAUAUUGAAGCAAACAUACCCAUGUCUGUUUGGAAUUGUAGUGAUGGCAGUGGCUUUUCAAGAUCAAAGAUUCGAAGGGAGUAUUUUGAAAGUUACAAGGCUGAAGACCCACGGUCCAUGAUGCUAUGAAAAUUGUUGUAGAAAAGCACUUGUCAUUUGAGGGGGAAAUAAUUAGCCUCACCAUAUUCGUUGAAUGUAUGCAUCUAAGGAGGAGGCAAUCCUUGGAGAAUGGAAAACGCAUUCAAUGGACACUUAAAAAGUAUAGUGUCACGGUACAUAUAUUUUUUUAGUCCCACUCAUAAGCAACGGUACAAAUAUGCAGUACAACUUUGAAUAUAAAAGCUAAUUAGGUCUCAAUAGAGAAUAGUUUCAUUUUUAUUGGCUCUGAGUACCAAGGCUGACUCAGAUACACCUUGUUUCUCGGACACUUUUG
rnacentral:lncRNA from 1 species